rnacentral:tRNA from 1 species
GCCUGGGUGGCUCAGUCAGUUGAGCGUCUAACUUCAGCUCAGGUCAGAGCCUGAUGUGGGGCUCGAACUCAGGAUCUCACGGUUCGUGGGUUCGAGCCCCACAUCAGGCU